GAUGAACGCUGGCGGCGUGCUUAACACAUGCAAGUCGAACGAGAACGGAUUAUAGCUUGCUAUAAUUGUCAGCUAAGUGGCGCACGGGUGAGUAAUGUAUAGGUAAUAUGCCUCUUACUAAGGGAUAACAAAUGGAAACGUUUGCUAAUACCUUAUACUCCUUAUUAACAUAAGUCAAUUAGGGAAAGAUUUAUUGGUUAGUGAUUAGCCUGUAUUGUAUCAGUUAGUUGGUGGGGUCAUGGCUUACCAAGACUAUGACACAUAACUGGUUUGAGAGGAUGCGCGGUCGCACCGGAACUGAGACACGAGCCGGACUCCUACGGGAGGCAGCAGGGGGGAAUAUAGCACAAUGGGCGGAAGUCUGGUGCCGCAACGCCGCGGGGACGAUGAGACAUUUCGGUGCGUAAACUCCUAUUAGAUGAGAAGAUAAUGACGGUAUUAUAUAAAUAAGCACCGGCUAACUCCGUGUCAGCCGCCGCCGUAA
rnacentral:rRNA from 1 species